UACGAAGGGGGGCUAGCGUUGCUCGGAAUGACUGGGCGUAAAGGGCGCGUAGGCGGAUGGCACAGUCAGAUGUGAAAUUCCCGGGCUUAACCUGGGGGCUGCAUUUGAUACGUGUUGUCUGGAGUGAGGAAGAGGGUCGUGGAAUUCCCAGUGUAGAGGUGAAAUUCGUAGAUAUUGGGAAGAACACCGGUGGCGAAGGCGGAUCUCUGGGCCAUUACUGACGCUGAGGAGCGAAAGCGUGGGGAGCGAACAGG
rnacentral:rRNA from 1 species